rnacentral:rRNA from 1 species
CGAUGAUGGGAGCUUGCUCCUGGAUUAGUGGCGAACGGGUGAGUAACACGUGAGUAACCUGCCCUUAACUCUGGGAUAAGCCUGGGAAACUGGGUCUAAUACCGGAUAUGACUCCUCAUCGCAUGGUGGGGGGUGGAAAGCUUUAUUGUGGUUUUGGAUGGACUCGCGGCCUAUCAGCUUGUUGGUGAGGUAAUGGCUUACCAAGGCGACGACGGGUAGCCGGCCUGAGAGGGUGACCGGCCACACUGGGACUGAGACACGGCCCAGACUCCUACGGGAGGCAGCAGUGGGGAAUAUUGCACAAUGGGCGCAAGCCUGAUGCAGCGACGCCGCGUGAGGGAUGACGGCCUUCGGGUUGUAAACCUCUUUCAGUAGGGAAGAAGCGAAAGUGACGGUACCUGCAGAAGAAGCGCCGGCUAACUACGUGCCAGCAGCCGCGGUAAUACGUAGGGCGCAAGCGUUAUCCGGAAUUAUUGGGCGUAAAGAGCUCGUAGGCGGUUUGUCGCGUCUGCCGUGAAAGUCCGGGGCUCAACUCCGGAUCUGCGGUGGGUACGGGCAGACUAGAGUGAUGUAGGGGAGACUGGAAUUCCUGGUGUAGCGGUGAAAUGCGCAGAUAUCAGGAGGAACACCGAUGGCGAAGGCAGGUCUCUGGGCAUUAACUGACGCUGAGGAGCGAAAGCAUGGGGAGCGAACAGGAUUAGAUACCCUGGUAGUCCAUGCCGUAAACGUUGGGCACUAGGUGUGGGGGACAUUCCACGUUUUCCGCGCCGUAGCUAACGCAUUAAGUGCCCCGCCUGGGGAGUACGGCCGCAAGGCUAAAACUCAAGGAAUUGACGGGGGCCCGCACAAGCGGCGGAGCAUGCGGAUUAAUUCGAUGCAACGCGAGAACCUUACCAAGGCUUGACAUGAACCGGUAUACCUGGAGACAGUGCCCG